AGACUUUGAUUCUGGCUCAGAUUGAACGCUAGCGGGAUGCUUUACACAUGCAAGUCGAACGGCAGCAUGAGAGAGCUUGCUCUCUUGAUGGCGAGUGGCGGACGGGUGAGUAAUGUAUCGGAACGUGCCCGGUAGUGGGGGAUAACUACGCGAAAGCGUAGCUAAUACCGCAUAUUCUCUACGGAGGAAAAAGGGGGAUCAUAAGACCUCUUGCUACCGGAGCGGCCGAUAUCAGAUUAGCUAGUUGGUGGGGUAACGGCCUACCAAGGCGGUGAUCUGUAGCUGGUUUGAGAGGACGACCAGCCACACUGGGACUGAGACACGGCCCAGACUCCUACGGGAGGCAGCAGUGGGGAACUUUUCGACAAUGGGGGGAACCCUGAUCGAGCCAUCUCGCGUGUGGGACGAAGGCCUUCGGGUUGUAAACCACUUUUCUCAACGAAGAAAAGUCUUAGGCUAAUACCUUAAGAUGCUGACGGUAGUUGAGGAAUAAGCACCGGCUAACUACGUGCCAGCAGCCGCGGUAAUACGUAGGGUGCGAGCGUUAAUCGGAAUUACUGGGCGUCAAAGGGUGCGCAGGCGGCUUGGAAAAGAACGGUGUGAAAUCCCGGGGCUCAACCUCGGAACUGCCACUAUUAACUGCCAAGCUAGAGUCACGUCAGAGGGGGGUGGAAUUCCGCGUGUUAGCACGUGAAAUUGCGUAGAUCUGCGGAGGAACACCGAUGGCGAAGGCAGCCCCCUUGGGAUUGGUACCUUGACG
rnacentral:rRNA from 1 species